rnacentral:rRNA from 1 species
CCUACGGGUGGCAGCAGUCGAGAAUCAUUCACAAUGGAGGAAACCCUGAUGGUGCGACGCCGCGUGGGGGAAUGAAGGUCUUCGGAUUGUAAACCCCUGUCAUGUGGGAGCAAAUUAAAAAGAUAGUACCACAAGAGGAAGAGACGGCUAACUCUGUGCCAGCAGCCGCGGUAAUACAGAGGUCUCAAGCGUUGUUCGGAAUCACUGGGCGUAAAGCGUGCGUAGGCUGUUGCGUAAGUCGUGUGUGAAAGGCGCGGGCUCAACCCGCGGACGGCACAUGAUACUGCGAGACUAGAGUAAUGGAGGGGGAACCGGAAUUCUCGGUGUAGCAGUGAAAUGCGUAGAUAUCGAGAGGAACACUCGUGGCGAAGGCGGGUUACUGGACAUUAACUGACGCUGAGGCACGAAGGCCAGGGGAGCGAAAGGGAUUAGAUACCCCGGUAGUC